rnacentral:rRNA from 1 species
UACGUAGGGGGCAAGCGUUAUCCGGAUUUACUGGGUGUAAAGGGGGCGCAGACGGCAAUGCAAGCCAGGAGUGAAAGCCCGGGGCCCAACCCCGGGACUGCUCUUGGAACUGCAUGGCUGGAGUACAGGAGGGGCAGGCGGAAUUCCUAGUGUAGCGGUGAAAUGCGUAGAUAUUAGGAGGAACACCGGUGGCGAAGGCGGCCUACUGGACGGUGACUGACGCUGAGGCUCGAAAGCGUGGGGAGCAAACAGG